UCUGCCAAAAUGAUUUUUACCGACUCGUCUUGUAACACGAACCAAGGAGUCUAACGUACAUGCGAGUGUGCUGGUGGAGAAACCAACACGCGUAAUGAAGGUGAAUGAUGCCAAGCUUGCGCAGCAUCGGCCGACCACGAUCCUCUGGUGAGGGGUUUGAGCGAGAGCAUGUCCGUUAGGACCCGAAAGAUGGUGAA
rnacentral:rRNA from 1 species